rnacentral:rRNA from 1 species
CCUACGGGAGGCAGCAGUGGGGAAUUUUCCGCAAUGGGCGAAAGCCUGACGGAGCAACGCCGCGUGAGGGAUGAAGGCCUCUGGGCUGUAAACCUCUUUUCUCAAGGAAGAAGAUCUGACGGUACUUGAGGAAUAAGCCACGGCUAAUUCCGUGCCAGCAGCCGCGGUAAUACGGGAGUGGCAAGCGUUAUCCGGAAUUAUUGGGCGUAAAGCGUCCGCAGGCGGUCUUGAAAGUCUGUUGUUAAAGCGUGGAGCUUAACUCCAUUUGAGCAAUGGAAACUACAAGACUAGAGUGUGGUAGGGGCAGAGGGAAUUCCCGGUGUAGCGGUGAAAUGCGUAGAUAUCGGGAAGAACACCAGUGGCGAAGGCGCUCUGCUGGGCCAUAACUGACGCUCAUGGACGAAAGCCAGGGGAGCGAAAGGGAUUAGAUACCCCUGUAGUCCUGGCCGUAAACGAUGAACACUAGGUGUCGGGGGAAUCGACCCCCUCGGUGUCGUAGCCAACGCGUUAAGUGUUCCGCCUGGGGAGUACGCACGCAAGUGUGAAACUCAAAUGAAUUGACGG